rnacentral:ncRNA from 1 species
GAAAUGUAAAAUUCAUUUAGGAUGAACAAAUUCAUUGAGGGAAUCUGGUUAGAAUCCAGAACGAUCCGGUCACUGUAAUUAGUUAUGUCUCCUUAAUAUGUCACUGGGCACAUUAUGUCUGGGAAGGCAAGGGGAAUAUAAGCUAUAAGUCAGGAAACCUACUAAAUUGAAGUACUAGAG